rnacentral:rRNA from 1 species
UACGGAGGGUGCGAAGCGUUAUCCGGAUUCACUGGGUUUAAAGGGAGCGUAGGAGGGCAGGUAAGUCAGUGGUGAAAUCUUCGAGCUUAACUCGGAAACUGCCGUUGAUACUAUCUGUCUUGAAUACCGUGGAGAUGAGCGGAAUAUGUCAUGUAGCGGUGAAAUGCUUAGAUAUGACAUAGAACGCCAAUUGCGAAGGCAGCUCGUUUAC